rnacentral:lncRNA from 1 species
UGCUUCACUCUCAAAGGUUCAACAUACAAGCUUCAACAAAAGAAAAAAUUCAAAGAACUUAGUGAAGAAGGCCUUGGUGUAUUUAACACAAUACGUUGAAAUGAAGCAAAAUUUGUUUAUUGAUAUCUCCGAUAAGUUACAAAUAUGUACAUAUACAUGAAUCAAAAUAAACAAACAAGAAAGAGCCUUCACAAAGGUUGUUCAUGAUAAGUCUCAGCAGUCGGCAGAGCCCCAGAAAGAGUAGGCACCGAAGGGUGAUCAUUCGGAGCCUCAGUACUGGGUAGAACCCCAGAAGGAGGAGGCACCGAAGGUUGAUCAUUCAGAGCUUCAUUAUGCGAUACAGCCCCAUAAGACGAAGGCAAUAAAUGCCUUUGGAACAAACCCACAAACCUCUGAUGAUCAAGCAAAAUUUGACCAUCAGAUUCCUGCAGCUAGUCAAGCUUUCUCUUCAUGUUUGUAGCAUAGUCAUG